GUAGGGAAUAUUGGGCAAUGGGGGAAACCCUGACCCAGCAACGCCGCGUGAGGGAAGAAGGCCUAACGGUUGUAAACCUCUGUCAUAUGGGAAGAAGGAAUGACAGUACCAUAUGAGGAAGCUCCGGCUAACUACGUGCCAGCAGCCGCGGUAAUACGUAGGGAGCAAGCGUUGUCCGGAAUUACUGGGCGUAAAGGGUGCGUAGGCGGCAUGUUAAGUUAGAUGUCAAAUACCCGGGCUUAACCCGGGGACGCAUCUAAAACUGGCGUGCUUGAGUGCAGGAGAGGAAAGCGGAAUUCCCAGUGUAGCGGUGAAAUGCGUAGAUAUUGGGAGGAACACCAGUGGCGAAGGCGCCUUUCUGGACUGUGUCUGACGCUGAGAUGCGAAAGCCAGGGUAGCGAACGGGAUUAGAUACCCGUGUAGUCC
rnacentral:rRNA from 1 species